rnacentral:rRNA from 1 species
CUGGGAGGACCAUCUCCUAAGGCUAAAUACUCUCUAGUGACCGAUAGUGAACCAGUACCGUGAGGGAAAGGUGAAAAGCACCCCGGAAGGGGAGUGAAAUAGAACCUGAAACCGUGUGCUUACAAGUAGUCAGAGCCCGUUAAUGGGUGAUGGCGUGCCUUUUGUAGAAUGAACCGGCGAGUUACGAUUUGAUGCAAGGUUAAGCAGUAAAUGUGGAGCCGUAGCGAAAGCGAGUCUGAAUAGGGCGUUUAGUAUUUGGUCGUAGACCCGAAACCAGGUGAUCUACCCUUGGUCAGGUUGAAGUUCAGGUAACACUGAAUGGAGGACCGAACCGACUUACGUUGAAAAGUGAGCGGAUGAACUGAGGGUAGCGGAGAAAUUCCAAUCGAACCUGGAGAUAGCUGGUUCUCUCCGAAAUAGCUUUAGGGCUAGCCUCAAGUGAUGAUUAUUGGAGGUAGAGCACUGUUUGGACGAGGGGCCCCUCUCGGGUUACCGAAUUCAGACAAACUCCGAAUGCCAAUUAAUUUAACUUGGGAGUCAGAACAUGGGUGAUAAGGUCCGUGUUCGAAAGGGAAACAGCCCAGACCACCAGCUAAGGUCCCAAAAUAUAUGUUAAGUGGAAAAGGAUGUGGCGUUGCCCAGACAACUAGGAUGUUGGCUUAGAAGCAGCCAUCAUUUAAAGAGUGCGUAAUAGCUCACUAGUCGAGUGACACUGCGCCGAAAAUGUACCGGGGCUAAACAUAUUACCGAAGCUGUGGAUUGUCCUUUGGACAAUGGUAGGAGAGCGUUCUAAGGGCGUUGAAGCAUGAUCGUAAGGACAUGUGGAGCGCUUAGAAGUGAGAAUGCCGGUGUGAGUAGCGAAAGACGGGUGAGAAUCCCGUCCACCGAUUGACUAAGGUUUCCAGAGGAAGGCUCGUCCGCUCUGGGUUAGUCGGGUCCUAAGCUGAGGCCGACAGGCGUAGGCGAUGGAUAACAGGUUGAU